CUUGCUCCUGGAUUCAGCGGCGGACGGGUGAGUAAUGCCUAGGAAUCUGCCUGGUAGUGGGGGAUAACGUCCGGAAACGGGCGCUAAUACCGCAUACGUCCUGAGGGAGAAAGUGGGGGAUCUUCGGACCUCACGCUAUCAGAUGAGCCUAGGUCGGAUUAGCUAGUUGGUGGGGUAAAGGCCUACCAAGGCGACGAUCCGUAACUGGUCUGAGAGGAUGAUCAGUCACACUGGAACUGAGACACGGUCCAGACUCCUACGGGAGGCAGCAGUGGGGAAUAUUGGACAAUGGGCGAAAGCCUGAUCCAGCCAUGCCGCGUGUGUGAAGAAGGUCUUCGGAUUGUAAAGCACUUUAAGUUGGGAGGAAGGGCAGUAAGUUAAUACCUUGCUGUUUUGACGUUACCAACAGAAUAAGCACCGGCUAACUUCGUGCCAGCAGCCGCGGCAAUACGAAGGGUGCAAGCGUUAAUCGGAAUUACUGGGCGUAAAGCGCGCGUAGGUGGUUCAGCAAGUUGGAUGUGAAAUCCCCGGGCUCAACCUGGGAACUGCAUCCAAAACUACUGAGCUAGAGUACGGUAGAGGGUGGUGGAAUUUCCUGUGUAGCGGUGAAAUGCGUAGAUAUAGGAAGGAACACCAGUGGCGAAGGCGACCACCUGGACUGAUACUGACACUGAGGUGCGAAAGCGUGGGGAGCAAACAGGAUUAGAUAACCUGGUAGUCCACGCCGUAAACGAUGU
rnacentral:rRNA from 1 species